rnacentral:rRNA from 1 species
UACGAAGGGGGCUAGCGUUGCUCGGAAUUACUGGGCGUAAAGGGCGCGUAGGCGGACAGUUUAGUCAGAGGUGAAAGCCCAGGGCUCAACCUUGGAACUGCCUUUGAUACUGACUGUCUUGAGUUCGGGAGAGGUGAGUGGAAUGCCGAGUGUAGAGGUGAAAUUCGUAGAUAUUCGGAAGAACACCAGUGGCGAAGGCGACUUACUGGACGAUUGUUGACGCUGAGGUGCGAAAGCGUGGGGAGCAAACAGG